GGCGGGCGUGGGCAGGGAGGUGGCAGUGUGUGUGCGCGUGUGUUGCUGUGCGUGUGUCCCGCUGCUGAGCCCCAACGAACCUUCCCAAACUCUUCGAACUAAAUCGAUCUUAUCCGAACUUUUACUGCGAACUUUUAUUUACGACGGUUAUAGUGUUGUGUUAGAGAAGUGCGCCAUAGCUGAGGGAGGCAGGACUCCGCGGAGCCCCGGGUGGGGGCGUGGCCCCCCUGCAACAUCCAUGCCAGGUGAUGCUCUCGUUGUGUGUGGGUCUACACGCCUUAGCCUGCUGGGUCGCCCGCAAGUAUAGACAGCCGGUGUGCCAUGACCCACCGGAGUGUAGCAUCUGCGGGGAGACUUCACUAAAAGGUAUGACGCCCACACCUCUGGCUUCAGUACUCAU